AACGGGGGGAACAAGCGUUAUUCAGUCAGGAUUGGGCGUAAAGGACCGGUAGACGGCGGGGAAUAAGUUUGGGAGUAAAAAAGCUUUUGGCUUAACCAUUUGCAGCUCCUUAGCAAAAUCUUCUAUGGCCGUAUAGAAGUAAUUACUCCUCUUGCUCGAGUUUUUGGAGAGGUUGGUGGUACUCUUGUAGGAAAGGGUAGAAUUUAUUGAUAACAAAGGGGACCAGCAGUAGGCGAAGGCAACCAACCAUCUUAAACUGACGUUGAGCGAUGAAAAGUGUGGGGGGAGCAAACAGG
rnacentral:rRNA from 1 species